rnacentral:lncRNA from 1 species
UAUAAUUUAUUUUUUCUACCAUUUUAUAGGGCCUGAUGAUUGUGAUGAUAAAGUAGACUAUUGCAUAUAAAGAUGGGCUUGAAUUAAAGAAGAAAUAACAGAUACAGUUGCUGAUGGCAAUUGGGCCAUUUUGUUUGUAAUAGAAGGAGGCCCAAGUCACUCUCCUGCAGCCUCUGUCUUCCUGUAACCUGCAUGUACUGCGGGACCUGUAGAAAAAACACUGUGAC